GACGUAGGGCGCGAGCGUUGUCCGGAUUUAUUGGGCGUAAAGAGCUCGUAGGCGGCUUGUUGCGUCGACUGUGAAAACCCGCGGCUUAACUGCGGGCUUGCAGUUGAUACGGGCAGGCUAGAGUUCGGUAGGGGAGACUGGAAUUCCUGGUGUAGCGGUGAAAUGCGCAGAUAUCAGGAGGAACACCGGUGGCGAAGGCGGGUCUCUGGGACGGUACUGACGCUGAGGCGCGAAAGCGUGGGGAGCGAACAGG
rnacentral:rRNA from 1 species